GAAAUUAUUGAAAAAAUUAACCCAUGGACUCUUCUAAAUCCAGUAACACUCCAAUUUCAACAGCAACUCGUCAUAGUAGAGACAUACACUAAUGGUUUUUCAAAAGACUGGAAAAAUUGAAGUACACUGUGGUUCUACUGAAAGUUACGAUUAUUACCUUUUAUUUUGCAUGAUAACGAAAGGUGCUUAUGGAACGACUAGGUGUGAGAGAGCAUCUAAAUUACUGGAGUUUCCGUUCUUUCAUCUCCUAGCUGCUGAGAAGAA
rnacentral:misc_RNA from 1 species